AUGUGCUGCUUCUAAUCGUCUUCGGACAAUUUAUUGACCAUUUGACCUCAAAUCAGGUAGGACUACCCGCUGAACUUAAGCAUAUCAAUAAGCGGAGG
rnacentral:rRNA from 1 species